rnacentral:rRNA from 1 species
CAGCAGCCGCGGGAAUACGAAGGGGGCUAGCGUUGUUCGGAUUUACUGGGCGUAAAGCGCACGUAGGCGGACUUUUAAGUCAGGGGUGAAAUCCCAGAGCUCAACUCUGGAACUGCCUUUGAUACUGUCGAUCUGGAGUAUGGAAGAGGUGAGUGGAAUUCCGAGUGUAGAGGUGAAAUUCGUAGAUAUUCGGAGGAACACCAGUGGCGAAGGCGGCUCACUGGUCCAUUACUGACGCUGAGGUGCGAAAGCGUGGGGAGCAAACAGGAUUAGAUACCCCCGUAGUCCCUGUCUCUUAUAC